UGCGUAGGCGGUUUGUUAAGUCAGAUGUGAAAGCCCCGGGCUCAACCUGGGAACUGCAUUUGAUACUGGCAGGCUAGAGUGCGGUAGAGGGUGGUGGAAUUCCCGGUGUAGCGGUGAAAUGCGUAGAGAUCGGGAGGAACAUCCGUGGCGAAGGCGGCCACCUGGACCAGCACUGACGCUGAGGCACGAAAGCGUGGGGAGCAAACAGGAUUAGAUACCCCCGUA
rnacentral:rRNA from 1 species